AGUACUGCCAGACUGGAACCGGGAGAGGUAAGAGGUACUACAGGGGUAGGAGUGAAAUCUUGUAAUCCCUGUGGGACCACCUGUGGCGAAGGCGUCUUACCAGAACGGGUUCGACGGUGAGGGACGAAAGCUGGGGGCACGAACCGGAUUAGAUACCCGGGUAGUCCCAGCCGUAAACGAUGCUCGCUAGGUGUCAGGCAUGGCGCGACCGUGUCUGGUGCCGCAGGGAAGCCGUGAAGCGAGCCACCUGGGAAGUACGGCCGCAAGGCUGAAACUUAAAGGAAUUGGCGGGGGAGCACAACAACGGGUGGAGCCCUGCGGUUUAAUUGGACUCAACGCCGGACAACUCACCGGGGGCGACAGCAAUAUGUAGGCCAAGCUGAAGACUUUGCCUGAAUCGCUGAGAAGUGGUGCAUGG
rnacentral:rRNA from 1 species